GGCGGCAUGCCUUACACAUGCAAGUCGAACGGCAGCACGGGGGUAACCCUGGUGGCGAGUGGCGAACGGGUGAGUAAUACAUCGGAACGUGUCCUGUAGUGGGGGAUAGCCCGGCGAAAGCCGGAUUAAUACCGCAUACGAUCUACGGAAGAAAGCGGGGGAUCCUUCNGGACCUCGCGCUAUAGGGGCGGCCGAUGGCAGAUUAGCUAGUUGGUGGGGUAAAGGCCUACCAAGGCGACGAUCUGUAGCUGGUCUGAGAGGACGACCAGCCACACUGGGACUGAGACACGGCCCAGACUCCUACGGGAGGCAGCAGUGGGGAAUUUUGGACAAUGGGGGAAACCCUGAUCCAGCAAUGCCGCGUGUGUGAAGAAGGCCUUCGGGUUGUNAAGCACUUUUGUCCGGAAAGAAAACUUCUGCCCUAAUACGGUGGGAGGAUGAC
rnacentral:rRNA from 1 species